GGUGGAUUAGUGGCGAACGGGUGAGUAACACGUGGGCAAUCUGCCCUUCACUCUGGGACAAGCCCUGGAAACGGGGUCUAAUACCGGAUAACACUCUCCUCCUCCUGGGGGUGGGUUAAAAGCUCCGGCGGUGAAGGAUGAGCCCGCGGCCUAUCAGCUUGUUGGUGGGGUAAUGGCCUACCAAGGCGACGACGGGUAGCCGGCCUGAGAGGGCGACCGGCCACACUGGGACUGAGACACGGCCCAGACUCCUACGGGAGGCAGCAGUGGGGAAUAUUGCACAAUGGGCGAAAGCCUGAUGCAGCGACGCCGCGUGAGGGAUGACGGCCUUCGGGUUGUAAACCUCUUUCAGCAGGGAAGAAGCGCAAGUGACGGUACCUGCAGAAGAAGCACCGGCUAACUACGUGCCAGCAGCCGCGGUAAUACGUAGGGUGCGAGCGUUGUCCGGAAUUAUUGGGCGUAAAGAGCUCGUAGGCGGUCUGUCACGUCGGAUGUGAAAGCCCGGGGCUUAACCCCGGGUCUGCAUUCGAUACGGGCAGACUAGAGUGUGGUAGGGGAGAUCGGAAUUCCUGGUGUAGCGGUGAAAUGCGCAGAUAUCAGGAGGAACACCGGUGGCGAAGGCGGAUCUCUGGGCCAUUACUGACGCUGAGGAGCGAAAGCGUGGGGAGCGAACAGGAUUAGAUACC
rnacentral:rRNA from 1 species